UACGAAGGGGGCGAGCGUUGUUCGGAUUUACUGGGCGUAAAGGGCGCGCAGGCGGCUCAUUUUGUCAGGCGUGAAAGCCCCGGGCUUAACCUGGGAACUGCGUUUGAUACGGAUGGGCUAGAGUUCGGGAGAGGAGAGUGGAAUUCCCAGUGUAGAGGUGAAAUUCGUAGAUAUUGGGAAGAACACCGGUGGCGAAGGCGGGUCUCUGGGCCGUAACUGACGCUGAGGAGCGAAAGCGUGGGGAGCGAACAGG
rnacentral:rRNA from 1 species